AAUGAUGGAGAUGCAGGCAUUUCCUGAGGAUUAAUGACCAGCUGGGAGGAACCAGUGGCCCUUGGCUCUGCCUCCCAGCCAGCCAUUAAUUCUAAGGAAAUGUCUUUUGCUGAGGUCGUU
rnacentral:pre_miRNA from 1 species